AGUCUCGUGCGAUCCGCCAGCACUUAGCCUAUCGGGAAGGGGACGGCGGCCUGGAAGGGACCUUUGAAAACGCGAGGCAACGCGUCAACGCUCUGGUCUCUUGCCUGGCCAGAAGGCAGCGUUCCCAUCAUGAGGAUUACACCCUAAACCAAUCUCUAAAGCUGCCGCCUGGGAGCUCUCUGGCUUCCCAGCUGCUGGAGGCGAGGCGCGGAGAAAUGGGACACGGAGCCUGAAAGAAGGGGAGCGCGUUAGGGUCCAAUGGAAGCUAAAUCCUGCCAGCUGUAACUUUGGAUACAGGAGUUUUGACUUAAUGUCCGUCGGAGGGACGUCUGGGUGGCUCAGCGUUUGAGGGUCUGCCUUCGAAUCAGGUCAUGAUCACAGGGAAGUAGGAUCCAGCCCCGUCUAUGGCUCUGCUCCCAGCUCAGCAUGGAAUCAGCUUAGGAUUCUUUCUCCAUCUCUCUCUGCCACUCCACCAGGUCAUGCUAUCAAUCAAUACAUUUCUUUUUAAUAUAGGAAAUAAAUGGGUCAAAUAACCUGUAAAAUAGAAUAAAAUGGAAAGGGAAAUUACUAUAGAAGAUACUUCUGGGACAUAGCCACAUCAUGCAGUGUUGCAAAGGUUUGGACCUUGUUGGGAUCCUAAUUCCAAGAAAUCAACUAUAAAAGUAAUUUAUGAAAUACAAAGAGAAUAUGGUCAGGGUAUUAGCUGAUAUUACUAAAACUUUUAAGGUACAGUAAUGGCUUGUGUGUCUGUGUUAAAAAGGAGUUGAGGGGGCACUGGGGUGGCUCAGUCUGUUGAUUAUCUGUCUCUUGAUUUCUGGCUUAGAUUGUGUUCUUGGGGUCAUCGAUCUAGCCCCAUGUCAGGCUCUGUAUUCAGCAUGGAGUCUCUCUCCCUCUGCUCUCUCUAAAAAAUAAAUAAAUACAACUUUAA